UGAGGAAUAUUGGUCAAUGGACGUAAGUCUGAACCAGCCAAGUAGCGUGCAGGAUGACGGCCCUAUGGGUUGUAAACUGCUUUUAUGCGGGGAUAAAGUGAGGGAUGCAUCCCCUUUUUGUAGGUACCGCAUGAAUAAGGACCGGCUAAUUCCGUGCCAGCAGCCGCGGUAAUACGGAAGGUCCGGGCGUUAUCCGGAUUUAUUGGGUUUAAAGGGAGCGUAGGCCGUCGUUUAAGCGUGUUGUGAAAUGCCGCGGCUCAACCGUGGCACUGCAGCGCGAACUGGUU
rnacentral:rRNA from 1 species